UUUUGUAAAUUGUUUUAUGCUACAUUUACAAACUAUUGUGGUAUAUUCAUAUAUUGAAGAAGCUUUCUCUAUAGUCUAAUUAAGAACUAACUAUUUCUUCUACUUAAACUCAUUUUCUCUUAUUUCACGAAAACCCUAGAUUUUCUCUAAACAGGUAAACCUCCCAAUCCUUCACCGUCUUCAACCUUGCGUAGAUCGGUUCAACCUUCGUCUUUAACAUACAUCUUAAACCUUCAAUCGUUCACUGUCUUCGAUCCUUAAAACCUCAUCUUAACCCUUCAACCUCCACUUGCUCCACUCACGACUAUUUCAAGCACCUCGUGCGGCUUUAUUCAUUCUCUUUGUGCGGCUUUAUUCAUUCUCUUUGUGCGGCUUUAUUCAUUCUCUUUGUGCGUCUCUGUAUCAACCAUCUGUGCGUUAGGGUUUCAUCUAAACCCUCCACUCCUCCAUUCAAUCGCCAUAAUUCACUCUUGAUUAAUUGUGCGCGCUCUGUUCUAGUUACUAUGCCACAAGAUUUGUCUCCAUCAUUGUGGCUCCACUUAUUUGCCUCUUUAGGAUUUAGGGUUUAUGGUUAAUUCAUGGAUUAUUUGAGGAAAUUCCCUUACCCCUGUUUUGAUUCAUUGCAAUUGAGGAAAGGUGGUAUGCCAAGUAUGAUUGGUCUUCCUUCAGAUCAUGCACUUGUUGAGGAUGAUGAAUGCUUAAGGAAACAAUGACGAAUGAAAUCAACGUUAAGCUAUUGAUCGAGUUUGCCUGAACUACCAAUGUUGUAGGCACCUGCAACCAUAUAUUUUCUCUGCUUUCUGUUGUUGGGUUAGUUUUUUUCAAUUGACUCCUACAUAGCCAUGACCGCACAGCACAGUGUCACCGAUUACCACUCAACACCCACAAAACCAUUGAUGUAUAAGAAGAAACGCAUUUGGUCUUGGAAUAAUUAAAUUGAAUUUGACCCAAAAAAAAAAAGAGUUGUUAGUUGAGAAUUGAGAAUUGUUGUUAGGUUUGGAAGAGAAUGGGAAGAAAAGAAUCUAUUCGUUGUUACUUCUUCCUCACCAGCUUCUUGUUCAUCCUCUGAUCGUGUCAGCUUAGGGUUUUUCUUCUGAUUUAGCCACCACCGUCACACUUUGCGGCCAUCGAAUCUUAACCUCUUUAAGUUGCAUCUCAAAUUCGUUGUCAUCUAACCUCUUUCUAAAAGCCAGAUAUGGAGGAACUUAUGUGUUGACAAUGACAACAUCUUCGGAUCGCGAGAAGAAUGUAGAGAACAUGGUA